UGAAAUCAUUAAUUCGCAAGCAUUCAACGUUCAACGUCAUUUUCAAGACCUUUUUUUCAAAAUUUUCGUGCUGAUAUGCCGGUGUACUAUGGAGGCUAUGUGGGAGGCCCCCAUGGCGGCGGCUAUUGUCUAUUCUCAUACCAGCCUUGCACGCCAACAACGGGAGGCUGCGGGCCCUAUGGAACCUUGCCCGGUCCCUGCUGCCCACCAUCCUGCUGAUUUGAUGAGGAAAUCGUAUCAAGAUGAACCAUUUAACUUCUUGGCCUCAGUCACCUCUUCUGUGUAAAUCUUGCCUUGAUUUUCAGUGUUUGUAGUUUUUAGGUUAUAAAUAAAAAAUAAGUAUUUAAAUG